rnacentral:misc_RNA from 2 species
CGCAGCCGCGGUAAUUCCAGCUCCAAUAGCGUAUAUUAAAGUUGUUGCAGUUAAAAAGCUCGUAGUUGAAUUUCGGGAUCAAUAUGUCGGUCGUGCCUCGGUACGUACUGGCAUCAUUGGUUUCUCCCUUCUGAUGAACCAUGAUGCCAUUAAUUUGGUGUCGUGGGGAAUCAGGACUGUUACUUUGAAAAAUUAGAGUGUUUAAAGCAGGCUCACGCUUGAAUACAUUAGCAUGGAAUAAUGAAAUAGGACGUUUGAUUCUAUUUUGUUGGUUUCUAGGAUCGACGUAAUGAUUAAUAGGGAUAGUUGGGGGCAUUAGUAUUCAAUUGUCAGAGGUGAAAUUCUUGGAUUUAUUGAAGACUAACUACUGCGAAAGCAUUUGCCAAGGAUGUUUUCAUUAAUCAAGAACGAAAGUUAGGGGAUCGAAGACGAUCAGAUACCGUCGUAGUCUUAACCAUAAACUAUGCCGACUAGGGAUCGGAUGAUGUUAAUUUUUAAUGA